GGGACUGCAUUGUGCUGGGGAGGGAUCGGAUGGCCCUGUGGUGGUAUUAGAUGAUACGGUGGAGGCACCAGAUUCUACUGUGGUGGUGCUCAAUGAUGUGGUUAGGGCACUGAACUAUACUGUGGUGGUGCCGGAUGAUACUAUAGAUGAACAGGAUUGUACUGGGGUGACUCAAACUGUGGCAGUGGGGGAGGGUCGAGUAGCUCCCUCCUUUCCUCCCGAACCUGCUGGGCAGCGAUGUGUCUCUCCAACAUUUCAAAUAGUCUGUCAAUAUCCUCUCAAAACGAACCCUCCCGAGCUACUCAGUUUAGUGGGGAUCUUCCUCUCCUCAUCUAUCUGUACUUGCAUUUCACAAGGAA
rnacentral:lncRNA from 1 species